rnacentral:rRNA from 1 species
GACGAACGCUGGCGGCGUGCUUAACACAUGCAAGUCGAACGGAAAGGCCCUGCUUUUGUGGGGUGCUCGAGUGGCGAACGGGUGAGUAACACGUGAGUAACCUGCCCUUGACUUUGGGAUAACUUCAGGAAACUGGGGCUAAUACCGGAUAGGAGCUCCUGCUGCAUGGUGGGGGUUGGAAAGUUUCGGCGGUUGGGGAUGGACUCGCGGCUUAUCAGCUUGUUGGUGGGGUAGUGGCUCACCAAGGCGAUGACGGGUAGCCGGCCGGAGAGGGUGACCGGCCACAAUGGAACUGAGAGACGGUCAAGACUCCGACGGGAGGCAGAGGGGGGGAAUAUUGGACAAUGGGCGCAAGCCGGAUCCAGCCAUACCGCGUGGGUGAAGAAGGCCUUCGGGUUUGAAAGCCCUUUGGUUGGGAAAGAAAAGCAGCAGGUUAAUACCCCGAUGUUCUGACGGUACCCAAAGAAUAAGCACCGGGUAACUUCGUG